rnacentral:lncRNA from 1 species
CUUGGAGCUGGGUGUGCAGGAUCUGGAUGCCACCAGCUCAGGGUCAUCUUCUCCAGCCCAAUCCCGGUAUCCGUGCCUGGGGGGACAACCCACCCAACACCAGCUGACCUCCCAUCUCAGGCAACCCUCACCUCUGCUGCCAGCACAUUCUCUGCCUCCUAAAGCCGGUCUGGUCUCGACGUCCACCUCCAGGUCCAGAAUCUCCAGAAUUUUCCUGAGAAGGUAAGAAACAAGCAAAGAACAUUUGUUCACCAGGAGUCAUUAUAAAGAACGUGAAGUCAAGCCACAAAUUAGGAGAAGCUAUCUCCCAUACACGUAAGCGACAAGCGGUUUCUACCCGGUAAGACAUCAAAGCUGCCCCACACGUCAGUGAGAUGUGGGAUCCGAGAGAAAAAUGGGCAAAAGACACGAAAAGGCCCGUCACAGAGCAGGAAACAGAAAUGGCCAAGAAACAUGUGAAAACCGGGUUAGUAGUCAGGGAAAUGGGAAUUAAAGUCAUAAGGUGAUGCCCUUUAACACCUGCCUGACUGAUGAAUGUUCACACUUGUGGGCAAGGACACGCGUGCCCGGAUGGCCGUGCGUGGACUGAACAGCAUCAGAAACGGUGUGGCGCUCUCCAGCGAGGCGAGCGCGAUGG